GACGUAGGAUGCAAGCGUUGUCCGGAUUUAUUGGGCGUAAAGAGUUCGUAGGUGGUUUGUUAAGUCUGAUGUUAAAGACUGGGGCUCAACCUCGGGACUGCAUUGGAUACUGGCAGACUUGAGUGCGGUAGAGGCAAGUGGAAUUCCAGGUGUAGCGGUGAAAUGCGUAGAUAUCGGGAGGAACACCGGUGGCGAAGGCGGGUCUCUGGGCAGUAACUGACGCUGAGGAGCGAAAGCGUGGGGAGCGAACAGG
rnacentral:rRNA from 1 species